AACUCCGUGCCAGCAGCCGCGGUAAUACGGAGGGUGCGAGCGUUAAUCGGAAUUACUGGGCGUAAAGCGCAUGCAGGUGGUUCAUUAAGUCAGAUGUGAAAGCCCGGGGCUCAACCUCGGAACUGCAUUUGAAACUGGUGAACUAGAGUACUGUAGAGGGGGGUAGAAUUUCAGGUGUAGUGGUGAAAUGCGUAGAGAUCUGAAGGAAUACCAGUGGCGAAGGCGGCCCCCUGGACAGAUACUGACACUCAGAUGCGAAAGCGUGGGGAGCAAACAGGAUUAGAUACCCUGGUAGUCCACGCCGUAAACGAUGUCUACUUGGAGGUUGUGGCCUUGAGCCGUGGCUUUCGGAGCUAACGCGUUAAGUAGACGCCUGGGGAGUACGGUCGCAAGAUUAAAACUCAAAUGAAUUGACGGGGGCCCGCACAAGCGGUGGAGCAUGUGGUUUAAUUCGAUGCAACGCGAAGAACCUUACCUACUCUUGACAUCCAGAGAAGCCAGCGGAGACGCAGGUGUGCCUUCGGGAGCUCUGAGACAGGUGCUGCAUGGCUGUCGUCAGCUCGUGUUGUGAAAUGUUG
rnacentral:rRNA from 1 species